ensembl:snRNA U6 U6 spliceosomal RNA
GUGCUGGAUUCGGCAGCACAUACACAAAAAUUAAUACAGAGAAGAUUAACAUGGCCCCUGUGCAAGGAUGACAGGCAAAUUUGUGAAGCACUCCAUAUUUAA